AGUCGAGGGGUAUAGUUCUUCGGAAUAGAGACCGGCGCACGGGUGCGUAACGCGUAUGCAAUCUACCUUUCACAGAGGGAUAGCCCAGAGAAAUUUGGAUUAAUACCUCAUAGUAUGCAGAGUUGGCAUCAACACUGCAUUAAAGUCACAACGGUGAAAGAUGAGCAUGCGUCCCAUUAGCUAGUUGGUAAGGUAACGGCUUACCAAGGCUACGAUGGGUAGGGGUCCUGAGAGGGAGAUCCCCCACACUGGUACUGAGACACGGACCAGACUCCUACGGGAGGCAGCAGUGAGGAAUAUUGGUCAAUGGGCGCAAGCCUGAACCAGCCAUGCCGCGUGCAGGAUGACGGUCCUAUGGAUUGUAAACUGCUUUUGUACAGGAAGAAACAGUUCUACGUGUAGAACCUUGACGGUACUGUAAGAAUAAGGAUCGGCUAACUCCGUGCCAGCAGCCGCGGUAAUACGGAGGAUCCAAGCGUUAUCCGGAAUCAUUGGGUUUAAAGGGUCCGUAGGCGGUUUAGUAAGUCAGUGGUGAAAGCCCAUCGCUCAACGGUGGAACGGCCAUUGAUACUGCUAGACUUGAAUUAUUAGGAAGUAACUAGAAUAUGUAGUGUAGCGGUGAAAUGCUUAGAGAUUACAUGGAAUACCAAUUGCGAAGGCAGGUUACUACUAAUGGAUUGACGCUGAUGGACGAAAGCGUGGGUAGCGAACAGGAUUAGAUACCCUGGUAGUCCACGCCGUAAACGAUGGAUACUAGCUGUUGGGAGCGAUCUCAGUG
rnacentral:rRNA from 1 species